AACGGAGGAGCACGAAGGUGGGCUAAUCACGGUUGGACAUCGUGAGGUUAGUGCAAUGGCAUAAGCCCGCUUGACUGCGAGAAUGACAAUUCGAGCAGGUGCGAAAGCAGGUCAUAGUGAUCCGGUGGUUCUGAAUGGAAGGGCCAUCGCUCAACGGAUAAAAGGUACUCCGGGGAUAACAGGCUGAUACCGCCCAAGAGUUCAUAUCGACGGCGGUGUUUGGCACCUCGAUGUCGGCUCAUCACAUCCUGGGGCUGAAGUCGGUCCCAAGGGUAUGGCUGUUCGCCAUUUAAAGUGGUACGCGAGCUGGGUUUAGAACGUCGUGAGACAGUUCGGUCCCUAUCUGCCGUGGGCGUUGGAAGAUUGAAGGGGGCUGCUCCUAGUACGAGAGGACCGGAGUGGACGAACCUCUGGUGUUCGGGUUGUGUCGCCAGACGCAUUGCCCGGUAGCUAAGUUCGGAAUCGAUAACCGCUGAAAGCAUCUAAGCGGGAAGCGAGCCCUGAGAUGAGUCUUCCCUGAUACUUUAAGUAUCCUAAAGGGUUGUCGGAGACUACGACGUUGAUAGGUCAGGUGUGUAAGUGCUGUGAGGCAUUGAGCUAACUGAUACUAAUUGCCCGUGAGGCUUAACCAU
rnacentral:rRNA from 1 species